AACAGAAAUGGAAAGAUACAACAUAUAACUCUUUGUAUCUUUUGAACUUUGAACCAAGUGAAAGUAUCCUCUCAAGAAAUAAAUAGUAUAUAACUACCAUUUGCUGGAGGACUACUAUAAUAAUAGCAUAUAUCUACUGAUAGCCAUAUACAAUAAUAUGGAUGGAUGCUUCACUUGCAUUCCACUACCCUCAACAAUUCUGGGGGUAGACAUUACUAUUCCCGUUUUACAGAUGUAGAAAUUUGAGGCUGGUCCAAGGUCACAUAACUCAGUACAUAAAUCCUUUGGAAGGAUGGCUGUGAAAACUGCCUAUGGAUUAUACCUCUCAGAGUCGGCUGAACAAAAGGAGAAGGCAGCUCAAAAAUGGGGCGCCACAUUUCUGAGACCCAUUUCUCAUUCCAAAACUUUCAGGUUCGAGGGGUUAAAUCCAAUUUGACAUUUUAAUAAAUAGUUCAUGUGGAAAGCUGAAAGUUCAUCUCUCUUUGCACUUAGUAAAUAUUCAUUUUGUUUUUAGAGUUUGAUGCAAAAUGACUGCACCAUAUUUUUCUGAAUCAGUUGGAAGGGAAAUAUAAUCUGUCUAUCUUAAAAGAUAGUGAAAAGAGGGGCUGGCCCCGUGGCCGAGUGGUUAAGUUCGCGCGCUCCGCUGCAGGCGGCCCAGUGUUUCGUUGCUUUGAAUCCUGGGCACGGACAUGGCACUGCUCAUCAAACCACACUGAGGCAGCCUCCCACAUGCCACAACUAGAAGGACCCACAACGAAGAAUAUAUAACUGUACUGGGGGGCUUUGGGGAGAAAAAGGGAAGAGAAUAAAAAAUCUUUAAAAGGGAGAAAAAAAAAGAUAGUGAAAAGAAAAAAGUGAUAUAUCCAUCACAGAUACUCAAAUUAUGGGUUGAGCAAGAUCCAACAGAUUAAGCACUAACCAAUAGUUACUGUUUAACAGGCCUCAGAGUACAAGAUGAAUCAUUCAGAACCAGGACACUGACUUUCUGCUUCAAAAAAUUACUCUUCAUCAACAGUAACCUGGCAACUGCACUUGCUCGCCACCACAAGAGAAUGAAAGACAUGCCAGGAAUGUGCAAGGUGGGCAGAGGGUGAUUCCAGGAGAAGCGCUGAGGUCAUGCAAGAUCUGCUUGUUUGGCUCCAUUUUAGUGCAACCAGGAUGCUGAAGUAUGCGGAUCAUAUCCCUGAUGUCUUUGUUCUGCCCCAGACCUUGAACAUCCCGUAGUGUAUACUAACUCUGAAGAAUACUAAAAGCCAUCUCAGGAUACUUACUGUGUUAUUACAGUAGUCUUUCCAAUUGUUGAAAAUGUGGGCCUCUUCUCAUAGAGAUCUAUACCUCAAACCCUCUUUUCAAAAGAUAUUUUAAAGUUUCAAGAUGAAAUCUGAAUAAAACAAAGCAAGAUUUAUUUGCACUUUGAAAACAUGGUAUCAAUAAGAGCAUCUGAAGCUGCUUGAUUCCUACAAAAUCUUCUAUCCUACUUAGUGUGGGAGACAGCAUAAUAUAAAUCCUUUGAGAUGACUUAUCUUCACAGCUAAAAGUACAGAUAAAACAGCUUUGCAAAUAGAUGUAGACAAAACAGGAUAAAAAUGCCUGACAACUUGUUUGGAGAUUAACAGGAAGAUAUUUUACCAUAAAAACUCUCCAAAAUAAUUUUCUCAGUGUUCUAUUUGGCAACAAACUCAAACUUGAGUUCUAAAAAAUCCUCUUACAAAGACAAAUCUGGGGGAAAAUGGUUUCCUAUAACAUUUCAAUGGAAUUUUUAAGUUUUAACCACAGGAAAAUAUCUGCGUAGAUCAGGUACAUUUUUCAUCUGAAAGAGCCUUCCCCAAAACGUUUCCCAAGAACCUUGCCCAUGAGAUAAAGAAACAUUUUAACAUCAGUUUGCCAUUUCUACGGUCACAAAUGCCCAAAUAUCUCAUAAUGAGCAAUGGUGGUAUUGCUGAUUUUCUUUCAGUUUCAAGUAGGAGAUCUAACUUGGGUUGCAAGUAAGAGUAAGCCUGUCAGACCAGCUUAGAGAACAAAGACAGAAUUAUUCAAAGGAAACAAGGGUGUCUAAUGGACUCCCAAGUCAGGAUUAGAACCUGGAACUGGACAUCAGAACCCUUUGGGGACACAUGGUUUCUGGCCUCAGUUCCUCUCUCUUUAGAUAUGCUUCAUUCUUGUCUCUCUGUGCACACAAUUCUUUGCUUCUCCUUGUACACAGCUAAAUGUACACAACCGUACACCAGCCCCUGAGUUAUUUAUGCUGCACAUAUUCCAGCCACCAGCAGAAAGAGAGCGGCAUUUACAAAUCUGAAUUUCAAAUUGCUAAGAGGCAUUUGAUUGCCCAGCUUGGAUCAGGUGGUCCAGUCAGCAGACACGAUGCAGAAGUCAACAGGUAGACUGGAGUCUAGGACCUGAAGGACUGUUCUCAGCGAAGGGGGAGGUGGCUUGUAGAUGGCACUGAC
ensembl:lncRNA